rnacentral:lncRNA from 11 species
GCAAGCUGCUUGAUUUACAGGGUUUUGUUUUCUAGAGGGAAAGAGCCCUUUGCCAUUUCAGUCAUGCUAAAUUUCACUUUGUUUCAGGAUUAUUAUGGAGGCUAAAGAUAAAGAUGAGAAAAUGAUCAGCAGCUGAAGUGAAAUUUUGUUUCUUAGUUGAUCCUUGUGUCUGUCUUCUGUGUGUUUGUGGAAGAUGACGAAGACAAUGAGUCGAUAUUUUUAAAACAUUCCUCCUGCUUUUUUCCUAACCCUUUGAAGCCAAAAUUGAUUUUUCCACCUAAGCAUACUGUUACUGAUAAGUUUUUGGUGGACAUCCCACGGCAGCCACCUUGGAGGCUGCAAAAUCCCGCAAGUGUGGACGGAGGAGGCAGCAAUCCUUGGAUCAACAAGUCUGUAUGUGGACCUCUUCUGAAGUUCCAGGAUUUUUUGCCCCUGACUAAAACCCAUGAUUUGCUGCUGUCUGGAAGUGCCCUUGGUUUGCAGCAACUGAAGAAAGCUGAGAACAAAGAGGAGAAAUAAGAAAAGGAGAGAGACAUUGCUACAUUUUAUAAGCAACUGAGAAGCGAGAUGAUAGAGGAUUAAUUGGGACUGUCCCUGCCAAAUCAUUGCAGUUGGAAGGUAUGGUACUUUGGUCGUUUCAUUGCAGUCUUUUCAAAUAAUAUAUAUUCAAAUUGUUAUUGCAUUCACCACUAUGUAAAAUGUGAAGAAACCUUGACUGUUUAAACAUUGCCUUACAUUGAGAACUGUCCGUUGUUCUUUUGAAUUCUGUAUAUCAAACUCCUUCUAUUCAUUUGUACCAACCUCCUGCAUUAUAUAAAUGGAGGUGUGAAUUUGUGGGCCACUGAACACUAUGAAUUUUCCUAAUAUAUCAAAAUUACAGUAACACCUGUGCUAAGUACCUUUGUGCUGAUCUACAGUGAGGACUCAUGGGGUGUUCAGUUGCCCUCAUUUCAGUAUUGUCAACAAGCCACAGGUGUGCACCGCAUGAAUAGAUGAAAAUGAGAUUUGGCAGAAUAUAGUGACAGUUCGAGGUUUGAAAUGCAUUUGUCUUAAGACAGAGAAAUGCAUCUAUUAACCAUGCUGAAGUUUAGUAGACUUUUUAUGUAUGCAUUAUAGUUGAUCAGUAUUUUGAUUUAGUAAGGCGAGAUCGUAGCAAGCAUGUAUGAUAACGGAUAGGUUGUGUCAGCUCUUCCUUCCCCUUAGGAGUAGUUACAUAAAUGUAUUAUACCACAUGUCGCUUACCGAUCAGUUUCUAUUCUUCCAACUGUUUGUUGUCACAAUAUCACAUGCUGACACCCCAUUUUAAUUUUAAAUUUUUAUUCUUCUUUCUAAUAAACAGCAAGUGACUACCUCAUAGUUUGUUUUACCUAAAGUCAGAAGAGAUAAAAUGGAAGUAAGGACACUUCCUCAAGACCACUCUUUGC